rnacentral:lncRNA from 1 species
GGCGUCUUGAAUAGAUCCUAUCAAAUCUGCAUGAAGGAUUCAUGCUGCAGCUUCUUCUUCGAGUUUUAGAAGAGGAUCUAGAUCCAAGCGAGGACCGAGGCCUAUAAGGUGCUGGCACUCUGGAGGCCUCGGUGUUUUGAUCAAGUCAUCUUCGUGUGGAUACCAGCAGAGGUUGGACAUGUGUGUGGCUCCAACAGAAACCCAAGCAUCUGUC